rnacentral:hammerhead_ribozyme from 1 species
AGCCGAAACGCCCUCCGGGGCGUCGUCCGGGAUUGGUCUACCGGGCCUGAUGAGGCAGACCACA